AUGCAGAUCUGGCUGUGGAAAGGAGACUGUAGGCAGCAAGUUUAGAGGCGUGACUGAAAGUCUCGCUGAGACCUGAGCUGCUGAAUCAGCUUUCUGGUUACUAUGGGCAAUGGCUGUGUUUUCUUUUUGAUGUCCUUUGCAGUGGAUCACAGCUAUCUGCUGAGGAUCACCACGAUGAAUGACACGGUAACUAUCUGGACCAGGAAGUUCAUGACCAAUCGACCGCUCCAGAGGAAACAAAUGGUCACCAAUGUCCUUCACCACGGAAAUGCAACAAAAUGUACAAGAUCAUAAUAGGUGUCAUCUUCAUAUUAAUAGUUGGACUCAGAACCCAUGUUGGUGGUGGUUAAACAAUGGGCUUUGGCAUGCUAUCUGGUUCUUUGAAUUAUGCAAAGAAAAAUGAACUCAAACAUAGACUUGCAAGACACAGCUGACAUGAGAAGAAAACGACCUCGAGAAAACAGCAAAAGGAAUGCAAGGGCAGAAUGAAGUCAAGAGACUGCAAAGGCCAAUGUCAGUGCUGGCAAAAAGCAAAAGGAGUAAAGAUUUUGCAAUGACUUUAUUUGCAGUGACUGUACAAAUUUUGCAUGAGAUGAUCAAUCAGCUGUAAAGACUUUUACAUAUAUAUAAAACAUCUUAAUAUUUUUCAUCAUCUUUGAUUUCCUAGAUGUUCUAGAAACUGAUUUUUAGUGAGAAAAAAACUACAUUUAUCUGAGUUGACCAGUUCCUUCAGUUUCAUUUCCAUUUCUUUUUCUUCUGAUAAAUUUACACGGCAUUCAA
ensembl:lncRNA novel transcript